ACUCCUACGGGAGGCAGCAGUGGGGAAUAUUGCACAAUGGGCGAAAGCCUGAUGCAGCGACGCCGCGUGCGGGAUGAAGGCCUUCGGGUUGUAAACCGCUUUUAAUUGGGAGCAAGCGAGAGUGAGUGUACCUUUUGGAUAAGCACCGGCUAACUACGUGCCAGCAGCCGCGGUAAUACGUAGGGUGCAAGCGUUAUCCGGAAUUAUUGGGCGUAAAGAGCUCGUAGGCGGUUUGUCACGCCUGGUGUGAAAGUCCAUCGCUUAACGGUGGAUCUGCGCCGGGUACGGGCAGGCUAGAGUGCAGUAGGGGAGAUUGGAAUUCCCGGUGUAACGGUGGAAUGUGUAGGUAUCGGGAAGAACACCAAUGGCGAAGGCAGAUCUCUGGGCUGUUACUGACGCUGAGGAGCGAAAGCAUGGGGAGCGAACAGGAUUAGAUACCCUGGUAGUCAAU
rnacentral:rRNA from 1 species